rnacentral:rRNA from 1 species
GGUCAAGUUAUUAAGGGUGCAGGGCGGAUGCCUUGGCACUAGGAGCCGAUGAAGGACGUGAUAAGCUGCGAUAAGCUUCGGGGAGUUGCACGUAAACUUUGAUCCGAAGAUUUCCGAAUGAGGAAACUCACUUAGAGUAAUGUCUAAGUAUCAUUAAGUGAAUACAUAGCUUAAUGAGGGGAACUCAGGGAACUGAAACAUCUAAGUACCUGAAGGAAGAGAAAGAAAUUCGAUUCCGUAAGUAGCGGCGAGCGAACGCGGAUUAGCCCAAACCAAUAAAGU